CUACGUGCCAGCAGCCGCGGUAAUACGUAGGGUGCAAGCGUUAAUCGGAAUUACUGGGCGUAAAGAGUGCGCAGGCGGUUUUGCAAGACCGAUGUGAAAUCCCCGGGCUUAACCUGGGAACUGCAUUGGUGACUGCAAGGCUAGAGUGUGUCAGAGGGAGGUGGAAUUCCGCAUGUAGCAGUGAAAUGCGUAGAUAUGCGGAGGAACACCGAUGGCGAAGGCAGCCUCCUGGGAUAACACUGACGCUCAUGCACGAAAGCGUGGGGAGCAAACAGGAUUAGAUACCCUGGUAGUCCACGCCCUAAACGAUGUCUACUAGUUGUCGGGGAUUAAUUUCCUUGGUAACGCAGCUAACGCGUGAAGUAGACCGCCUGGGGAGUACGGUCGCAAGAUUAAAACUCAAAGGAAUUGACGGGGACCCGCACAAGCGGUGGAUGAUGUGGAUUAAUUCGAUGAUACGCGAGGAACCUUACCCGGGAUUGAA
rnacentral:rRNA from 1 species